CCUACGGGUGGCAGCAGUGAGGAAUAUUGGACAAUGGGCGUAAGCCUGAACCAGCCACGUCGCGUGAGGGAUGAAGGUUCUAUGGAUCGUAAACCUCUUUUAUAAGGGAAUAAAUUGCGGGGCGUGUCCCGUUUUGUAUGGACCUUAUGAAUAAGGAAAGGCUAACUCCGUGCCAGCAGCCGCGGUAAUACGGAGGAUCCGAGCGUUAUCCGGAUUUAUUGGGUUUAAGGGGUGCGUAGGCGGCCUUUUAAGUCAGCGGUGAAAGUCUGUGGCUCAACCAGAGAAUUGCCGUUGAAACUGGGAGGCUUGAGUAUGUUUGAGGCAGGCGGAACGCGUGGUGUAGCGGUGAAAUGCUUAGAUAUCACGCAGAACCCCGAUUGCGAAGGCAGCCUGCUAAGCCAUGACUGACGCUGAUGUACGAAAGCGUGGGGAGCAAACAGGAUUAGAUACCCCUGUAGUC
rnacentral:rRNA from 1 species